ACCAAAUCGUUUUCGAUCGUUGGA
rnacentral:miRNA from 1 species